rnacentral:rRNA from 1 species
GCUUGUCUCAAGACUAAGCCAUGCAUGUCUAAGUAUAAACGCUUCUAUACUGUGAAACUGCGAAUGGCUCAUUAAAUCAGUUAUAGUUUAUUUGAUGGUUCCUACUACAUGGAUAACCGUGGUAAUUCUAGAGCUAAUACAUGCAGAAAGUCCCGACUUCUGGAAGGGAUGUAUUUAUUAGAUCCAAAACCGGCGCGGGUCUUCGGGCCCGGUUGCUUGGUGAUUCAUGAUAACUGCUCGAACCGUAUGGCCUUUGUGCCGACGGUGCUUCAUUCAAAUUUCUGCCCUAUCAACUUUCGAUGGUACGGUAGUGGCCUACCAUGGUUGCAACGGGUGACGGAGAAUUAGGGUUCGAUUCCGGAGAGGGAGCCUGAGAAACGGCUACCACAUCCAAGGAAGGCAGCAGGCGCGCAAAUUACCCAAUCCCGACUCGGGGAGGUAGUGACAAUAAAUAACAAUGCCGGGCUUUCUUAGUCUGGCAAUUGGAAUGAGUACAAUCUAAACCCCUUAACGAGGAACAAUUGGAGGGCAAGUCUGGUGCCAGCAGCCGCGGUAAUUCCAGCUCCAAUAGCGUAUAUUAAAGUUGUUGCAGUUAAAAAGCUCGUAGUUGGAUUUCGGGGCAGCCUGGCUGGUCCGCCGCAAGGCGAGUACUGGUCAGCCGCCCUUCCUCUCGAAAGCCCCGACUGCUCUUUAUUGUAGUGGUCGGGUAGUUCGGGACGUUUACUUUGAAAAAAUUAGAGUGUUCAAGGCAGGCCUACGCCUGAAUACAUUAGCAUGGAAUAAUGGAAGAGGACCUCGGUCCUAUUUUGUUGGUUUCCAGGGCCGAAGUAAUGAUUAAGAGGGACAGUUGGGGGCAUUCGUAUUUAAUUGUCAGAGGUGAAAUUCUCGGAUUUAUGAAAGACGAACAACUGCGAAAGCAUUUGCCAAGGAUGUUUUCAUUAAUCAAGAACGAAAGUUAGGGGUUCG